GUAAUAUGGUCCAGUGGGAUAUCACCUUUUAUUAAAGAUGACACAAAACAUUCAGGCAAUCAGGUAGCGAAGUGUUGUAGAUCCACAUGAUGUAAUUAAUCUCUGAGGGAAGUCACAUCACUGCAAAUUCACAGGAGUCACAGAGUGUUUGAUUUACAUUCACAGCUUACAGUUACAUAAAACAGACAAGAGAAGCUAACCCUCACAUUUGAGAAGCUGAAACCAGUCAGUGUUUGUCAUGUUGUUAAAUGAAACAAACAAAACUUACUGAAUUUUCUGAUUGAAGAAAUGAUCUAAAUGUUUCAGCACUAGAAGGGACAUUUUAAACACAUACUCAUCAGGCUUAAACUGCUAUAUAUGUUUUCAUUUUCUUAGAUAUGAUUAGUCAAGGAAGGGUUAAUCCAAUUGUUAUAAUGCAUCAUGAAUAAUGCUAUACUUUUGUUAAAGUGCUCCAGAGAGUCCCUGCUUACACCAUGUAUUGUAGCACUAUAUAUUUGUAAUGUUAUUGUGUAAAAUUCUUAAGGAAUACAAUAAUUAUAGUGAACUUUGUAAGCAAAAACCUUAAUGCUUUAUAGGCAAUUAAACAUACAGUGUCUCUGUGAUAACAAGGAGGGCAAACUUUCUGAUUAACAUGGGCAUUCUUACAAUUCAAAGGUCUCUCAUUAACAGCUCAUUUGGGGCCUUCAAAUAAUCAACCCCAGCAUGUUCACCCUGAAUAAUUCACCAUGUAACACUUUUUACACGCAUUCAGCAUUCAUGACAAACAAUCUGUUAAAAAAUGAAUGUAACAACAGUCAAGUGUAAAACUGACUUUUUAAAAUAUCACAAAAAGUAUUUACCUUCGAUAUUGUCCACAGUGUUGAUCUGAAGUUUACCUUGCGUAACCAUCUCUGCUGUGCUGGACGUUGUUGAGAUCAUUAGUGAUUUGUGUUGUUGGAGUGAUGGAGCGACUGAACCAGAGCUGCACUUGUUUACCUGUCUCUACUCCCUGCGGGGUGUGGUCUCUCCCCUUCCCUCAUCACAUGUUGCUUUCCAUGACCCAGAGACAUGCACAUAAACUCAUACUACUUGGUGUGUGACUCUUGGUCUCACCUAGUGGGCACCAGCAGGUAACAUGAACCACAGGAUCUAACCAGCCUCUAUGUGGCUCCUGUAGUGGAAAGCUUAUAAUUUAGCUCUUGUGCUUUUCCAAUAUACUGUUACAUUCACGUCCAGGAGUCUGACACCUGCUGAGUGCAGGUUAUGAAUAAGCAAUAGGUGGCAUCCAAGUGGUGAAACAUGAGAGCUUGGUCAGGAACAAGAUGAUGUGUGAUUAUGUUCAUGUCUCCCCCUACAACUGGAGUUUCUCCACAUUUAAUUUGUGUAAAAACAGUAAAAAAAAAAAAAAAAAAAAAAAAAAAAAA